AAAAAUAAGUCAUAAUCAUAUAAAAAUGAAUGUAAAAUAUGCAAAAUAAUUUAUAAAAUUAUAUAAAAGUCUAACCCCGUAACGACGUUAACAACAAUUUUAUUUUCAGGGUAUCUAGGGCGUUUUUAAGAGUAUUCAACUUAAGUCGCGAGUCUCGGAACGAAUUAAUGACGUAAAACGAGAGUUAAUGACGGUAAUGAUUAAUGACGUAAGGCAAGUAUGACUGUGUAUAAAAAUCGAUGACAGAAAUAUAUUCAUAGGAUUUGAAAAAUUAAGCGGACAGAAUUUUUCUUAUUAAAAGAUUUUGUCAAACGGUCUUAAGCGCUUAUCUUAAAGGUAAACCACUCGAUGCAGUCAGCUUGUUUAUGCAGAAAUUUUUAAAAGUAUACUUCCCACGAAUUUCCUCUUCUAUAUUGAAAUCUGGCCACCGGUCUAAAUGAAUUCCGUAGGACCGGAUCGAGUGGUUAUGUCUCAAAACAGUUUCGAAAAAUAAAUCGCACUUUCAUGACACUAAAUUAGCUGGACCACGUGGUAAUUGUAUUAUUUAAUGACGUGACACUGGGUUCCUCGCCAUUGACGCCAUAGCAUUCUCUGUCCAGUCAGGUCAUAUACGAGGGGAAAGUCAAUAAAUUGGGGAAAUUUGCAUUUAUUACAAACUGUUGUACCAAACCAUGGAUGUAUUAUACCAAUUUAUGUAUCGUUAUUAUAUACCGUCAUUAUUGCGUGUCUGAACUAUGGUUGGCAACACGUCAUAGACAGUCAAUUUUCAAAAUGGCAGCCCGCUUUCAGACUGCACGGUAAUUGAAUAGCGAAGUGUCAUUCGAUUUUUACUGUCAGAAGGGAUUAAAUCAAGUAAAAUUUACUGUAGAAUGUAUGAGCCAUACGGAGACAAUCAAAAAUUGUAUAUAAAUGGUGUGUUCAGAAAAUUACAAAUUUAAAGGUGAAUCAUCAGGUCAUGUUCACCUUUAAAUUUGAUGAAAAUUAAAAGGUUUGUCAGUCGCUGGAAUUACGUGCCGAAGUAAGAGGCGAUUACCUCGAAAAAUAGUGUAUCUCGAAUGAUUCUAUAAUAAACUGUUUAGAAGUUAUAUUUAAAUUCUCCUUAUUUAUUGACUUCCACUCGUAUUUCAAUUCCUUUCAACACCGUAACAAUUCUACUUUUAUGAAAUUAGUUUAGAUGGAUGUUGAGAAUAGUUAUCGAUGAAAACUUUAAAAAAACGGGUAUCCAGAUGACAUAAGUGGCGACUUAUACUAUUUUAGGAUCAUACGUCUUUUAUGGUGAGAGACAGAGAAGACACAUUCUGACAAUGAUACGGUAACCAUUAUCAGAAUGGCCCUUGGGAUUGUCAGCCCAUAGGACUGACAUCAAAAGUUUGAAUGCAAAGAGUACAAAUAUUCGGUAGGAUUCUUAUGGUGAUAUACAAAUUUCUGGAACUAUAAUAUUGAUAGAUACGCGUGUUUGGCAGAUCGACAUAUUUACAUUCACCGAGAUUCAUUUUGAGCAUUUUUGCAAAUAUUUGUACCGCAUGCGUAUCCUUUCGUAUCUCGAGAAAUGGCUGGCCCGAUUUUGACCAGAUUUUUCUGUGCCUGUACUAUUAUUAACUAGCAUAUACAGCAUUUGGCCAGUACAGUACAGCGGAAUCCAUAUUCGAUAUAAUGUUAUCAUUUUAUUAACUUUGAAGAUAGGUUGUUGAACUGUCCAAUCUUUUAUUUUGAAAUAGAUAAAAAUUAUGGAUAAUUUUAAGUUUUUUAAUUUCACUCUCCAGUUUUGCAAAUUUUUGAAUUUUAGGUAAACUUUAAUAAUACGAAAUUUUCUUUGGUACUAGAGUAAUCAAGAUGUAGUACAGUAUCUGUUGAUACUUUUAUACAGUAUGCGUGUGCGAAAAGUUGGGAGAAACAUGGUACGCGCGGUAUAUUAUAAGUUUCAUAUAAUCUACAAAUAAUAGAACAGUGCAUGUGUAUACGGGAUCCAAUCUGCCUUCAAGCGGAUGUGGAAUCAGCGGGAUUGAAAGGAACUGAUGGCCUAUUUUCCGGAUGUUUUCCUUAAUUUGAUAUUUCCAAAUCAUUUCAAAUUAUGUGUCGAAUGUUUUAAAAGUCUUUUAAAGGGGCCUCAUUUUUUUUUUUUGAUCGAUCAUCUACGUUUUUGUCGUGUAUUCCCGUUUUAACCCUUUGGCUUCAGAUCCCGAAAUAAGCAUCCGGCGCUGUAGAUACAGAAUAGCGUGUCCAUUCCAUUCUCGAAUGUAAAGGAUGGGGUGACAUUCGUCCUCUUUGAAUACUGCCCGUGGUACAUCUCGAAAAUUCGAGAGGUGAAUAAAGUUUGCCAUUUUUUUAAACAGUAUGGCGCGACUGUCUAACGUCGCAUUCUUUUCUGAGCAAGAGCGACCGGUCGGCUGGUUUUAAAUGAAAUGAAAAACUCCAAAUUAAAAAAAAAGAUUGCUUUCUCGUUAUAUCAAAAUAAAAAAAAUUUCUCAGCUACGUAAUUUUAAAUACGAAAUAUUUAAACAAAUAAUUAAUAAUAUUUUUAAUAAAUUUUACAUUUGUGUCGGUAGAUGGCGGGACGAGUGGAAUUGGUUAUAUUUUUAAAUUUAUAUAAGCCGAGCGGAAUGGGUCUACGGGGAAAGUGUAAUUUCAGCUAUACAGUUCAUUACAACUGCGUUGGUAAAGUUAAAUUUUCAUACCAGUGGACUUUUCUUGUACAGAAACCUUUUUUCAAAUUUUCUUUUAAUACGGUACGAAAAUACAGGAUUAGUCUAAAUGAUUCAUCGGGUUUCGGGGCACUGUUUAUUGACAAGUAUAUAAUGUGCAAGGACGGGUGAUGUGUGAAAAGAAAG
rnacentral:lncRNA from 1 species